rnacentral:misc_RNA from 1 species
UGGACUACUGGGGUUUCUAAUCCUGUUCGCUACCCAUGCUUUCGCUCCUCAGCGUCAGUUACUGCCCAGUAACCUGCCUUCGCCAUCGGUGUUCCUCCUGAUAUCCGCGCAUUUCACCGCUACACCAGGAAUUCCAGUUACCCCUACAGUACUCAAGUUAUGCCCGUAUCGCCUGCACGCCCGGAGUUAAGCCCCGGAAUUUCACAGACGACGCGACAAACCACCUACGAGCCCUUUACGCCCAGUAAUUCCGGACAACGCUCGCACCCUACGUAUUACCGCGGCUGCUGGCACAC